AUUGAACGCUGGCGGCAGGCCUAACACAUGCAAGUCGAGCGGAUGAAGGGAGCUUGCUCCUGGAUUCAGCGGCGGACGGGUGAGUAAUGCCUAGGAAUCUGCCUGGUAGUGGGGGAUAACGUCCGGAAACGGGCGCUAAUCCCGCAUACGUCCUGAGGGAGAAAGUCGGGGAUCUUCGGACCUCACGCUAUCAGAUGAGCCUAGGUCGGAUUAGCUAGUUGGUGGGGUAAAGGCCUACCAAGGCGACGAUCCGUAACUGGUCUGAGAGGAUGAUCAGUCACACUGGAACUGAGACACGGUCCAGACUCCUACGGGAGGCAGCAGUGGGGAAUAUUGGACAAUGGGCGAAAGCCUGAUGCAGCCAUGCCGCGUGUGUGAAGAAGGUCUUCGGAUUGUAAAGCACUUUAAGUUGGGAGGAAGGGCAGUAAGUGAAUACCUUGCUGUUUUGACGGUACCAACAGAAUAAGCACCGGCUAACUUCGUG
rnacentral:rRNA from 1 species